rnacentral:tRNA from 1 species
GGGUCGUUAGCUCAGUUGGUAGAGCAGUUGACUUUUAAUCAAUUG